rnacentral:rRNA from 1 species
UGGGGGAUAUUGCACAAUGGGCGAAAGCCUGAUGCAGCGACGCCGCGUGGGGGAUGAAGGCUUUCGGGUUGUAAACCUCUUUCGCUAUCGAACAAGGCCCGCUUAGGGUGGGUUGAGGGUAGGUGGAGAAGAAGCGCCGGCUAACUACGUGCCAGCAGCCGCGGUAAUACGUAGGGCGCGAGCGUUGUCCGGAAUUAUUGGGCGUAAAGGGCUUGUAGGCGGCUUGUUGCGCCUGCUGUGAAAACGCGGGGCUUAACUUCGCGCGUGCAGUGGGUACGGGCAGGCUUGAGUGUGGUAGGGGUGACUGGAAUUCCAAGUGUAGCGGUGGAAUGCGAAGAUAUCUGGAGGAACACCGAUGGCGAAGGCAGGUCACUGGGCCAUUACUGACGCUGAGGAGCGAAAGCAUGGGUAGCGAACAGG